UGUUUGCGUACUAACUGGUGUCACAGUCUUUGGUGGCGCACUCGUGACUUCUUACCAGGGAGUGUGGGCUCUUGUCUGCUUUGUUUCUGUUGGACAUGGUCGCUGUAGUCAGACUCUGCACGAUGAAGACCACUGGACUCAAAGCUGAUUUGAUGGCAUCCACUGCCUGUUCAUGACUGGCAGCCCGCAGAUUGAUGAUGUGGACAAACAACACAUGCAGGAAUUAGACCAGACCACAAAAGAGCACUGGGCCUGCAGCUCAGAACAUGCCAGAUGCAGCCAUUAGCCUGGACCAGGGCAGGGGUCUGCAACCUGCGGCUCUUUCAUGCCUCUGCACUGACUCCCAUUAUUUCAAUAAAUAAUUGUAAUCAUUCUA